AAACUGCGAAUGGCUCAUUAUAUAAGUUAUCGUUUAUUUGAUAGUGCCUUACUACUUGGAUAACCGUGGUAAUUCUAGAGCUAAUACAUGCUAAAAACCCCGACUUCGGAAGGGGUGUAUUUAUUAGAUACAAAACCAAUGCCCUUCGGGGCUCCUUGGUGAUUCAUGAUAACUAUACGAAUCGCACGGCCUUGCGCCGGCGAUGGUUCAUUCAAAUUUCUUCCCUAUCAACUUUCGAUGUUUGGGUAUUGGCCAAACAUGGUUGCAACGGGUAACGGAGGGUUAGGGCUCGACCCCGGAGAAGGAGCCUGAGAAACGGCUACUACAUCCAAGGAAGGCAGCAGGCGCGCAAAUUACCCAAUCCCGACUCGGGGAGGUAGUGACAAUAAAUACUGAUACAGGGCCCUUUCGGGCCUUGUAAUUGG
rnacentral:rRNA from 1 species